AGCUCUGCAAACGCACCCUCAAGCUCGUCAGAAGAGCUGCUGAGGGCAAGUGCAUGAAACGGGGAGUGAAGGAGGUGGUCAAGAGCAUCCGGCGCCAGCAAAAGGGAUUGUGCGUGAUAGCUGGCAAUAUAUCUCCGAUCGAUUGUAUCACACAUAUCCCCAUCUUAUGUGAGGAGUCAGAUAUUCCAUACAUCUACGUCCCCUCAAAGGAGGAUU
rnacentral:misc_RNA from 1 species